UACGUAGGGGGCAAGCGUUGUUCGGAAUUACUGGGCGUAAAGGGCGCGUAGGCGGCCGCCUAAGUCAGACGUGAAAUCCCUCGGCUCAACCGGGGAACUGCGUCUGAUACUGGGUGGCUUGAAUUCGGGAGAGGGAUGCGGAAUUCCAGGUGUAGCGGUGAAAUGCGUAGAUAUCUGGAGGAACACCGGUGGCGAAGGCGGCAUCCUGGACCGAGAUUGACGCUGAGGCGCGAAAGCUAGGGGAGCAAACGGG
rnacentral:rRNA from 1 species